UGGUGGAGCGAUUUGUCUGG
rnacentral:ncRNA from 2 species